CCUGAUUCCCAAACUAGCCUGCCUGCCUGCCUGCUUGGCUCGCUGGCUGGCUGGCUGACUUGCUGGCUGGUUGGUUGCAUGCGAGUGCUCGUACAUGUGAGAUGAGCAGCAUUCAAACCGUGAUAAAGUAGGAGCGAAAUUUUUGUGUUUUUGAAUUUUCGCACAUUUUUUCGGUUGUUGGUUGGGAGCAUUUGACUGUGGUGCGGAUGUUUUCCUGCCUGCCUGCAUUCUAUACGAAUGUGUUUGUAUGUUUGUAAGUAUGUACUCGUACAUACAUAUUUGCAUUUUAGUCUUUUGUGGUGUCUGGUUGAAGGUAUUAAAUUCACAUAUUUUAUUAAAAGCAUGCUGCGACGGCGGCUGAAAGUAGCAGCAGCAGCUUUAUUCACCCUGCGCACCUGCAAGGAACAAUGUCAGCAGAUUGAAUGUGUAUUAUGUGUACAGUCAUUAUUUAUUGGUGUCAAUAAAUUGCGGUCCAAUUGGAAGUAGUGUCCUUUUUGUGUUCAAGACCAGAAAAAAACUCCAAAAAAUAACACAUACUCUACACACUAUGAAUAUGCCCUCCAUCCUUACAUACUUAGUAGAAGUAUAUUGUAGAUUUGAAUUGUUCGGUCGUCUGGAUGAUAUGUGUACAGCUAACCGCCAUUUAUUUGAAUUCGUUUUUUGUUAAUGCGACAGCGAAUAUGUGCAUAGAUGUACAUAUGUAUGUAUAGUGGGGGACUCACAUCGAAAGUACCGGACCGAUUUCUUUUCUGUAAUUUCAAAAUAUUUUGUCGUGUUUACGUUGGAGCUAAGGUUCUUGUUAGAUGCGAUAUUUAAUACUCUGAUUGUUCUCACUACUGUAUAGAUGAAAUCAAUUGCUUGAGAGUAGACUGAGAUCACAUCUUCCGAAUUACUGUAGUUGCCUGAUGCCAAAAUGUUGUAUGAAUUAAUCAAAAUCGCUUUUUUCGUAGAAUCAAAUGUGAAUUGAGUACUCCAAGAGAUACAUAUGUAUAUAGUAGCCUACACUGUUUAUAAAAUAACAAGUAAGAAAGUAUAAUCGGGAGUGG